UGCACUCCUCACCCCAGACCAACUC
rnacentral:misc_RNA from 1 species